rnacentral:rRNA from 1 species
GAUGAACGCUGGCGGCGUGCCUAAUACAUGCAAGUCGAGCGAACGGACGAGAAGCUUGCUUCUCUGAUGUUAGCGGCGGACGGGUGAGUAACACGUGGAUAACCUACCUAUAAGACUGGGAUAACUUCGGGAAACCGGAGCUAAUACCGGAUAAUAUUUUGAACCGCAUGGUUCAAAAGUGAAAGACGGUCUUGCUGUCACUUAUAGAUGGAUCCGCGCUGCAUUAGCUAGUUGGUAAGGUAACGGCUUACCAAGGCAACGAUGCAUAGCCGACCGGAGAGGGUGGUCGGCCGCACUGGAACUGGAACACGGUCCAGGCUCCUACGGGAGGCAGCAGUAGGGAAUCUUCCGCAAUGGGCGAAAGCCUGACGGAGCAACGCCGCGUGAGUGAUGAAGGUCUUCGGAUCGUAAAACUCUGUUAUUAGGGAAGAACAUAUGUGUAAGUAACUGUGCACAUCUUGACGGUACCUAAUCAGAAAGCCACGGCUAACUACGUG